rnacentral:rRNA from 1 species
AUUGAACGCUGGCGGCAGGCCUAACACAUGCAAGUCGAGCGGAUGAAGGGAGCUUGCUCCUGGAUUCAGCGGCGGACGGGUGAGUAAUGCCUAGGAAUCUGCCUGGUAGUGGGGGAUAACGUCCGGAAACGGGCGCUAAUGCCGCAUAGGUCCUGAGGGAGAAAGUGGGGGAUCUUCGGACCUCACGCUAUCAGAUGAGCCUAGGUCGGAUUAGCUAGUUGGUGGGGUAAAGGCCUACCAAGGCGACGAUCCGUAACUGGUCUGAGAGGAUGAUCAGUCACACUGGAACUGAGACACGGUCCAGACUCCUACGGGAGGCAGCAGUGGGGAAUAUUGGACAAUGGGCGAAAGCCUGAUCCAGCCAUGCCGCGUGUGUGAAGAAGGUCUUCGGAUUGUAAAGCACUUUAAGUUGGGAGGAAGGGCAGUAAGUUAAUACCUUGCUGUUUUGACGUUACCAACAGAAUAAGCACCGGCUAACUUCGUG